rnacentral:rRNA from 1 species
UACAGAGGAUGCAAGCGUUAUCCGGAAUGAUUGGGCGUAAAGCGUCUGUAGGUGGCUUUUUAAGUCCGCUGUCAAAUCCCAGGGCUCAACUCUGGACAGGCGGUGGAAACUACCAAGCUGGAGUACGGUAGGGGCAGAGGGAAUUUCCGGUGGAGCGGUGAAAUGCGUAGAGAUCGGAAGGAACGCCGGUGGCGAAAGCGACGUGCUGGACCCCUUCUGACGCUGAGGCGCGAAAGCCAGGGGAGCAAACGGG